UUGAGAAGGUACGAGCAAGCAAAGACGUGAGGAGAACUUAAUACAGUUUCAGGUAUCCUGGAUGCGGAAGAGGGAUAUGCAUAUCCUUAGCGCCGGAAUCCUUAUGUAUACUUCAGAUCUGAGGUUCCAAGUGAUCCAUCCGGACAAGUCUGAAAACUGGACGUUGCAGAUCAAGUCACCUCAAGAACGAGAUUCCGGGGUUUACGAGUGCCAGGUCAGCACCGAGCCGAAGAUGUCGUUGAAUUAUACUCUAAACGUCAUCGUGAAGACGCGGAAAUACAAAGAAGGGGGCUCAUAAAUUUACUUUCUUGCCGUUGUUCGCGAUCACGAGGAAGAGCUUUUUGAGAAAGACGUACAUUGACAUUAAAAUCUCGUGGCAACAUAGAAAGCUUGUAGUGGAAAAGGAAAAAGAUAAGAGAGGAAGUAAAUGGGU